GGGCCCGCACAAGCGGAGGAGCAUGUGGUUUAAUUCGAUGAUACGCGAGGAACCUUACCCGGGCUUGAACGUAAGACUAAUGUACAGGAAACUGUACAGCCUUAGGGAGUUUUGCGAGGUGCUGCAUGGUUGUCGUCAGCUCGUGCCGUGAGGUGUUAGGUUAAGUCCUGCAACGAGCGCAACCCUUACACAUAGUUACCAGCACGUCAAGGUGGGCACUCUAUGUGAACUGCCUACGCAAGUAGAGAGGAAGGUGGGGAUGACGUCAAAUCAGCACGGCCCUUAUGUCCGGGGCUACACACGUGCUACAAUGGUAUGAACAGAGGGCAGCGACCACGCGAGUGGGAGCCAAUCCUCAAAACAUAUCUCAGUUCGGAUUGGAGUCUGUAACUCGACUCUAUGAAGUUGGAUUCGCUAGUAAUCGCGCAAUCAGCCAUGGCG
rnacentral:rRNA from 1 species